AAUAACCGAAAAAUUAAUAUGAUACAAAUUUUAUAAAAUAACCGGCUGACCCAAACUAGUGACACCCUAGUUGGUGCUGUCUCUGUGUUUAUCUAUAGAAAGAAAGAAGCUAAGGCAAAAUAUUGGCGUUUAUGUAUGUUUGUAUUUAAUCAAAUCUGCCGAAUCAAAGAGAAUUAUUUUUAUUGAGGAUGAACAAAAAAGAAAAAGAAUCAUAGAUUGCUAGAGAACUGAAAUAGAAAGGGAGACUGGCCCAUCCAAACAGCAAGACAAAUUGAUGUAUGUCUCAACAACAACAAUCCAAUAUAAUCCCACUUAGUAAGGUUUGGGGAGGGUAGUAUGUACGCAGACCUUACCCCUACCCUUGGGUAGAAAGGUUGUUUCCAAAAUAGACCCCCGGCAUACUUCCCUCCAAGAACUUCCCACCUUGCUCUUGGGAAGACUCGAACUCAUAACCUCUCGAUUGGAAGUGGGGUUGCUUACCAUCAGAGCAACCCCUCUGAUAUUUUGCUAAUAAAAAUAUGUAUGCAUAUAUACUAUGUCUGUCACUGUUAGAAAAUAGUAUGAAAAUACUAAAACCACUGUUCCAUACCCCAAAACUAACAUAAAAUUGAAUAUGGCAAUCCUACGAAUCUUUCCUAAUCUAUUUUUACUUUUUCUUAUGCCUUGGGAACCCGAUCUUUAGGAGAAGCCUAUGUCGGAUCGAUCUUCAUCAAGAUGGUCACAUGCCCUUACUAAAGAAAAGGAAAUAGGUCGCCAAACUAUUGGGGUCGGUGCAGCGGAUCUUGUUCUCCCGUGUAAAACUGUCAAACUGUCACAGUUUUAAGGUUAAGAGUCAAGAAUUUUACCCAUGAUUUCUCGCUAAACUUGAAAUUUUGCUCAUUGUUUAGGUGAAUUGUUCCAAAGGUCAAAAGUUCAAGACAAGCUUAUUUCAAGGUCAUUUGUAAACUUAUCCUCCCAUUAGAAAAUGUAAUUAAAGAAAAGCUCACACCUUUACACAAUUUUGCCACUGGCUACAAAGCCAGUCCUGGUAGGACCAAGCCACAGCAGUUCCUCCACCCUUUACAACCAAAGGAGUAAUAAUUCAAAGGACCCUACCAUGCCUUUGAGCAAUACAGUGCUCAUCUGGUCCAAUAUGAAAGUGGAGAACAAUUAAAUAUCAACCGUCACAACGCUCUCUUUUGUGCGUCUGGAUAUAUGAUUAAUGGCUCAGAACUUUAUCAAACAUAUCAUGCUACAUUUUGAGAGUUGUGACUAUUAUUCCACAGGGUCCCAUGUGUACAUUAAAAGAAACUACUUCACUGCCACCUGAAUUUAAUAAUGGGAGCCCAAAUAGAGUUUGGAUUAAGUGUUGGAUUAUCUUAGCGAUGUAUAAGAGGUAUCAAAGUUGGGAGGACCACAUUGUUGGCUAACCAACUCAUUUACACACAUCUCAAUUGACUAAAUCUUAAGCAACUCUGCCAGCUAAAAAGUCACAAUGUAAUUUAAUAUAGACAAACAUGAAAUGCUGGGAAUAGGGAAGGGCGAGAUCACAAGGGUCUAUUGUAUGCAGUCUUACCCUGCAUUUCUGCAAGAGGUUGUUUCUACGGCUCGAAUCUGUGACCUCCUACUUACAUGGAAGCAACUUUACCCGUUAUGCCAAGGCUCCCAUCUAUACAGGAAAAAAAUACUUAUUAGUAAUAAAAUGCUACAAAUGAUGCUAAUAAGGAAAGGUGGGGUUGCUGCACCUUGUAGUAUUCACACCAACUGGGAAAGACAGACAUCUGAUGCUCUCUAGUUGUACAGAUGUAGACACCAAUUUAACAGCUGUAAAAAUGCAACAACCCAACCUUGGAGUAAGCUUUAAAGCUUGACAAUUCAGUCAUAAAAUCAAGAAUAUCUCAUUGCUGGCCAUAUACUAUGUUACAGCAUACACUACAGUAUAUUCUUGUUCAAGGAAAAAAGACACUCAAGCAUACUGAAUAGUUGCUUUUUUACACACUAAGAAUCAGAAAAUUCGUAACCCUUUCAGAAGAGUUUGGACCUCCCAAACAAAACCAAGGGAUCAUAAUCAAAUUCUUACCAGAUAACCUCCUCUCCCAAAAACAUACAACAGAUAAUAAUUCAACAGAAACACGAGACCCUUUCCCACAAUCCCUGCCCAACUCCUGCGUAAUACCUAGUAAAGAAUUCACCUAAAUAAGUCAGCUUCCUUAAGCUAGCUUCAUAUUUAUUUUUUAGCUUACCCGACAUAUGUCGUGAACUUCAAAAUUUGUAACCUCUGUACAACUCUUCAUACCACUUCCUAUAAACAGACAAUGCCUAAUGUAGAAGAUCAUCUAAGCUACCUUUCUAAGGAGUUGAUGUAGAAACUUCUUGUCUUGGUUCCCUCAAGUAUCCAAGUAAAGUUUCUGCCUGCCAAAAACAACCAAGCCCCAUUAAGAUUGAGUUAUCCAUAAUAAUGCAACUAUCUAAAAACUACAGCUUCCAUUUCAAGGAUCAAAAAUAAAUACGCGCACUAUACAUCACAAUGAAGGAAAGCAACACUGAAACCCGUUUUCAAUCUAUAUAUUAUUGCAAGCACCAAUUUUCAAAUAUGACUGCAUCAAAUUCAAGUAAAUGCAUUUCUCAUUAAAGGCACAUGGCAACUAUAAAGGUCCAUUUCCCUUUUGUUUUUUUCCAUAUUUUCCAUGUUCAUCUUCCACAUCUACAUCCAAAACUGGGAACACUCCAUAUGACAUGACCAUGGUUAGAAGUCAAAAUCUUGAUAUAUUACUAUUAAUGUUGAAAACCUAAUUUGAAAUUCAACCCAAAUAUUUGUUAUCCAGUUAAAUCAAUAAGCUGGUAGCAUAAUCAAAUAAAAUAUAUACCCGAAUCAAUCAA
rnacentral:lncRNA from 1 species